rnacentral:rRNA from 1 species
CCUACGCGUGGCAGCAGUGGGGAAUAUUGCAACAUGGGGGGAACCCUGAUGCAGCAACGCCGCGUGGGUGAAGAAGUACUUCGGUAUGUAAAGCCCUGUCAGAAGGGAAGAAAAUGACGGUAACUGACCAAGAAGCCCCGGCUAACUACGUGCCAGCAGCCGCGGUAACACGUAGGGGGCAAGCGGUAUCCGGAUUUACUGGGUGUAAAGGGAGCGUAGCAGGCAAGUGAAGUCUGGAUUGAAAGCCCGUAGCUCAACCACGGGACUGCUCUGGAAACUGUGUUGCUGGAGUGCAGGAGGGGUAAGCAGAAUUCCUAGUGUAGCGGUGAAAUGCGUAGAUAUUAGGAGGAACACC